GAUAGCUGGUUCUCCUCGAAAUAGCUUUAGGGCUAGCCUUGUGUAGUAGUAUAUGGGGGUAGAGCACUGACUGAGGUAGGGGCCUAACCAGGUUACCAAACUCUAUCAAACUCCGAAUACCGUAUAUGUAAGCACAGGAGUCAGACUGCGGGAGCUAAGUUCCGUGGUCAAAAGGGAAAGAGCCCAGAUCGUCAAUUAAGGUCCCAAAGAUAUAGCUAAGUGGCAAACGAUGUGAUUUUGCGUAAACAACCAGGAUGUUGGCUUAGAAGCAGCCAUACAUUUAAAGAGUGCGUAAUAGCUCACUGGUCGAGUGAAGUUGCGCGGAAAAUUACCGGGGCUAAGCUAUACACCGAAAUUGCGGAUUUACACUUGAAAGAUAGUGUAAGUGGUAGAGGAGCAUUCUGUAGUAGGGAGAAGCAAAAGCGAGAGCAUUUGUGGACGAGGCAGAAGAGAGAAUGCUGGAAUAAGUAGCGAGAGCAAGGUGAGAAUCCUUGCCGUCGAAAGUCUAAGGUUUCCUGGGGAAGGUUCGUCCGCCCAGGGUAAGUCGGGACCUAAGGUGAGGCUGAAAAGCGUAGCCGAUGGAUAGCAGGUUGAGAUUCCUGCACUAUAGAUAUACUUAAAAGAUGCAAGGGACGCAGGAGUGGAAGAUAAGCGAGGAAGAGGAAAGACUCGUAUCGCAAGAUAUAGUGAAAAUAAAGUAACGAAUUAUCAAGAAGCACACUGACGAGAAAAGCUUGUAGAUAUUGUAUAUAAAUACCCGUACCGCAAACCGACACAGGUAGAUGAGGAGAGGAUCCUAAGACGAGCGGGAGAAGCAUUGUUAAGGAACUCGGCAAAUUGACCCCGUAACUUAGGGAGAAGGGGUGCCAAGGUAGAACUUGGCCGCAGUGAAGAGGUUCAAGCAACUGUUUAACAAAAACACAGGUUUCUGCUAAAUCGAAAGAUGAAGUAUAGGAGCUGACGCCUGCCCAGUGCUGGAAGGUCAAAGGGAAGUGUUAGUAAAAACUUACGAAGCACAGAACUCAAGCCCCAGUGAACGGCGGCCGUAACUAUAACGGUCCUAAGGUAGCGAAAUUCCUUGUCAGGUAAGUUCUGACCCGCACGAAAGGCGUAAUGAUUUGAACACUGUCUCGACAAUGUACCCGGCGAAAUUGUAGUACUAGUGAAGAUGCUAGUUACCUGCGACAAGACAGAAAGACCCCAUGGAGCUUUACUGCAGCUUGAUACUGGGUUUUGGUAAUUUAUGUACAGGAUAGGUGGGAUACGAAGAAGCAAGUGCGCCAGCAUUUGUGGAGUAGACGUUGGGAUACCACUCUUAAAUUAUUGAAAUUCUAACCUGUGAUCAUGAACUGGUCAGGGGACAAUGUCAGGCGGGCAGUUUGACUGGGGCGGUCGCCUCCUAAAGAGUAACGGAGGCGCCCAAAGGUUUCCUCAGCACGGACAGAAAUCGUGCAAAAGAGUGUAAAGGCAGAAGGAAGCUUAACUGGGAGACUGACAAGUCGAGCAGAUACGAAAGUAGGGCUUAGUGAUCCGGCGGUA
rnacentral:rRNA from 1 species